UUGCCGUAUUAUUGCUUAUGUUACUUUGUGUUUGCGGGUUAUGUGUAUGAGGAUUACCUUGUGCAAUGUUUUCUGCUUUUUGCCUUGAUGUGGAUUACUGUUUUUGGGACCACAAUAAAGCUUCUAUUGGAUUUUCAAUAUUGCCCAGAUUUUCAAUCUGCUGCCUGAGAGACAAGUCCAUGUUCAAGGUUUGGCAAUACCUUGUAGUGGAAGUGUGGAAAGGCUGGGUUGCAACGAUGCAGACUUUAAAAUCACUUUUAACCUCUGUCUGGAUGAUCUCUUAUUACAUUGGGAGAUGGAGCUGGUAAAGUCAUUGGAAAUCUGGAACUUCUCCGGGUACUUGCAGCUCUGCCAAGAGGGGAAGGUAAUGGAUCAUAACCAGAACCUACCUGUAAGGACUCAAGAGCCCACUUCAGUUCAAGAGUCCUCAGAGUUCACUCAAGAGCCCGCUCCAGAGCCUGCUUCAGUUUGUGAGUUCACUCCAGAGCCCACUCCAGUCUGUGGGAUCGUGAAGCGCCCAUUUUUUUCAAACCAGCUGUCCGACCUACCAAUACUACAUGACAUUCAAAGCUUCAGACAUCAUCAGUCACAUGGUAUUGUCAUUUCAAUACAAGCAUCUGCACAAUGUGUGAUACAGUAGAGGUUGGAAAACUGUGUCAGACCAUCGGAGCCCUUUUAUCAAUCGUCCCAUCACUACUUGUCUGGGGUAUUUUAAGAAUUGGUGGCAAACGCAGAAAGUUCAAGGCCAAUUGGGAACAUGGAGAAGUCAGUUCCACAGCUUUUCUGAGAAUUUUAUUUUUAUUUCCAUUUUAUUUCUCUGUUCUAAUCCAUGAAGCAUGCGACACCUAAGAAUUGCACCUGCGCCAAGAUUGCUCACCGUUUAUAUUCAGAUUGAUACACAUAAGCAAACAAAAAUGCUGCUACUCCUCUGUCUGCCCCAGAUGACACUUCACCAGAACUAGGCGUAGGUGUCACAGCCAAGGUGAGUUAACUUUAAUAUUCAAAGUCACGUGCCUCAACCACAGUGUCCAGUGGCUGUAAACAAUGAGAGAUCAUGGGGCAGGUGAUGCUUAGGUUUCACAGGAUGUGCGCUUCAUUACGGAUUAAAAGAGAGGAAUAAAAUAUAAGGUAAGGUGGCAAAUAGGUAAAUAAGUGUUGAAUUGCACUUUCUAUUUGCUCACAUACAUCCAUUUAAGUGUAAACAGUGAAAGAUGUUGAAACAGAUAUGACACUUAGGUGCCAUGUGCUCCAUUAUGGAUUAGAAGAGAGAGAAUAAACUAUAAAAUGGAAAUAAAAAUAACACUGCAUUUUGCUACAAUUACCACACGGUAUUAUGAUGAAAAUGCAAUCCUAGUGUCAUGUAAGACUAAAUGCAUUUAGGAAAAAUAGCAUUUAAAUGAUAAUUUUGCUACAGUUUUUGCUUGUACAUGUUAAACAUAUCUAAUCAAUUUGGGUAUACAUUUUAAUUUUAAUUUUGCAAUUUAUAAAGCGUUAUAUGUAUUUCAUUGAUAUAUUAAAACUAGUAUAGAAAAUGGCAAAUGCAAAAUACAUUUAAUAUUCAUUUUCAUUUUGGACCAAAUGUUGCAAAAUGUUUUUUUUUUUUUUCAAUCCUGUGGCAAAUCCCCCUGAGGAAGGACCUUAUUUGUCAGGAGCAGGGCACCAUAUGGCACCUGCCCCCAUACCUCUGGAACAUCCACGCUUGGUCCCUUUAUGUGACAAAGAAUUUACAGGGCUAUCAACAGCUGUGAUAGACACAAUCACUCAGGGAAUUAGGACAUGUGUCUUUCCCCUAUGUUUGGGGACCUGCUCCAGCCUAACCCAGCUGAGACUUAAAUCUUGGGGAUCGCAAGUCAAGUUGGUGGAGGAAUUCAUAUGAGUGUCAUCUGAUCCAGGAGAUAGCAGUCUUCUGGUUGUGGAGGCCGAAGAAGUUAUGGAGGCCUCACAGCCUGCCUGACCACAUACAAUGAACUUCUGAAGCUUAUGGGUCAUGCUACAGACAGGUUAGAUCUCUCUUGGAAGCGUAUGAGACCUCAAAUCACUCAUUGCAGACUACAUGAGUGAUUUCUGUCUGGAACACAGCCAGGGCCUUUCCACUGAUGCAGUGCCAGAGCUGUGCUGGAUUACGGAUGUUGUUCUCCGGUCCACUAAGCAAGCACCUGUCAUGAUUGGUCAAUCGAUGGUGGCUAUGGUGCCAACAGAGAGGCAUCUGUGGAUCAGCUUGGCUGACAUCGGGGGAAAAGAGAGGAUCCUCCUCUUCGAUGCAUCAGUUUCACCCUUUGAGCUUUUUGGCACAACCAGUGGUUGAGAAAUUCAGGGAGGUGAAGACACAGUCUGCAGGUUUCAAAAAGAUUUAUACCACAUUGAUCCAGACCUGCACCUCAAACCUCUCAAGGCCCAGUUCUGUCUAGGUCUGAGGACCAAAGCAGUGUGGUAGAGGGUGUCUAUUUUGAUGAUGAGAACAUGUAUAGGCAACACUGUAUGUUAUAUCCUCAAGCAAAUAUGUUGAUGAGAAAAUCU